AGUUUUUGUAGGUUUAUAUUUGAUGUUAAUGUUCUCGGUAAUCCUACGCAUGAAGCGUUUGAUCGAGACUAUAUUUUUUGUGCUGGUCAAAGCGCUAUAAAUCUCUUUGUUUGAAAGAUCUAUUGGCACGUGACUAAUAACGCCAGUUGUUUCUGUUGCGGCAGCUGGUAUACUAGCGUAGAGUUUUUCGUUAUCCAGAAACUUUUUAUUGCUAAGAGCUGCAUUAGCCAAAGCUGGUCUCUCAAAUAUCACUCCUACUUUUGCUUUGUUGAUUCUUUUUGUUUUACGCCUUUAUUGUAUCGUUUUAUUGCGUUGGCGAGUGACAUUAUAUGUCUCGAGCCAAUUGGUUUGUCUUUGUCAGUGCUUUCUAGAAAGACAGUAUAUUCGAAAUUGCCACCAUCUUCAGGAUAGAAACGGACAUAAUUCGGUAAUUUAAAUGAAAUAUACUUAUCAGUAUCUUCCUCAGAAAUGAUGGAGUCCGACUCAGAGUCCCGCACCGCGGCGCUUUCCUCGGAGUCUCCCUCGACAUCUUCUUUUUUCUUACGCCUUUUUCUACCGCGGGACAUCGCGGCAACAAUCACACUUUAUAACCUACCCCAGCACCUAAGCGUCCUAAUGAAGAUGAACUUGGAGUUUCUGAUGAGGAAAGUGUACGUUCGAAAAAAAGGACGUCGACGAGCAGUCGGUUCGGAAUUGGAAAGAUCUGCAAAGAUCCCAACCAUCAUCAUCUACCCAAAGAACCUGCUAUAACUGACAAUUUGUAGAAAAUGUUGUUACAGAGGAGUUAACGGAUGUUGAUAUAUAGCAUGAGAGUGAGGAAGGUGCAGAGGAACUAAUCAAUGCUUUAGCUGAUGCAGAGUGUUCAUCUGUACUCUUACAUAAUUUGGCUCGUCUUGAUGAACUAGUGCCAGAUGAGAGAGAUGCUGUACAUAAUACUUUAGGGAUAGUUAAAAAUAUAACUGAGUUUCGUCCUGAAUUAUGGGUUCAAGAUGCAAAACAAGGUUUCAUUCAGUGGAUUUUUAAGAGGUUGAAGGUAGAAAAAAUAUGUUUACUUUCUAUGGUAGAACUUGGGAUU